GCGUAAAGAGAGGAAUUCUUAGUAUUAUUCUCACUAUUGAACUAAUGAAUUACAACUGAGCUAUAUAGAGUUGUGUACAAAGAAAUACAACUGCCUAAACAGAAUUUGAACUAACAACUAACUGAUUCAGUAAUUCUUUAACCAACUUUUACACAAUCUGACUUUAACUUAGAUCUAACAGCUUAAGCAUCCUUUACUAAUUCUUCUCCAUUGUAUUCAUUUUGUGCUACCAGGUUCUGUUGGACAUGUACGUGAGCUAUCAAGAACAUAGAGAAGCAGGCACAAAAAUAAACUAUGAAAAGAUAGUCAUCAUCUAACAGCUUAGGCGGCAUGUACAUUGAUUAUCAGCUUCUUUGUCCAAACAUUCAGCAUUUAACUCAUAAGCUCAUAAGCAGAUGGCACAUCAUGCAAUGGGUGACCUUUUCUGUUUCUCUCAAUUAUCCUCUGUGCGAGGGAAACUUGCUUCCCAACCCCAAAGACAAAUGCCUUGCCCUUUCCUGUGGCACCUCUAGCAGUUCUUCCAACUCGACGCACAUAUUCACUUGGAUCACGUGGAAAAUCAAAGAGUAUAACAUGAUCCACACCAGUAAAAUCAAUUCCACGUGAUGCUCUGUCAUGAAUUAACAAAAAAAAUCCAGAUCACUAUGCUAUGUUAUGCUUAGAUGUAAGGAUAAGGGGUUCAGUAAUGUCAGGAAGAAAAGUUAUGACAGUACCUAUCCGUACAAACCAAAAAUAAAGAGUUUUCUCCUGGAGGAGAAUUCAUGAACUCUGUCAUGUUUGCAAGCCUUGAUUCUUUUGCCAGUGCAGCAUGGAAAGGUAGAACUCGAAUAUUUGUUCCUUUUCUGUCAAAGCGUUUUAAUACAUUCUCUACUUUUCUGCAUGUCUCGAUCUUGUUACAAAACACAAUUGUCUUGGAAACAGGACUUUGCUCCAUAAUCCGCAGAAGAGCUGAUUUCUUAUUGAGAAAUGCUGUAUCGGGUGUCCUUUCUGUCCCAAUUUCUCCACUGCAAUCCACAAGAACCUCUUCAAGCCUGGUACUUGUGCGAUGCAUACCAGGUCCCAUGAUCACUUCACAAUCAGGAAAGAUCUCAACAAGCUUGUUAUAAACAUCGACUGGUAAAGUUGCAGUAACGAAAAGAUAUUGUGUGACAACUGGUGAAGAAUUCAUCAAGCUGUUUAAUGCAACCUCAAAGUCCUCAUCAUUAAACAGUAUAUCGACCUCAUCCAACACAACACAUUUCAGAUUUGUUUGCUGUAAGAAUCCUUCUUUAACUAGGAAUGUGAAACGUCCAGGCGUCACUAUUAGAAUGUCAACACCUUGUUCUAGAUUUUCCAGUUGAGUUCUCUGAGAAAAUCCACCCGUUGCAACCAUAGAUCGAAAUGGAACCCCAAAUUUUGAUAUUGACCGGCAAUUAUUCAAAACCUGAGAUGCCAGCUCAGCAGUUGGCACCAUGAUAAGUACUUGAGGACUUUUUGAAACAGAUUCACCAAGUCCUUGGAGUUCUUCUAGCCUGAGGCGUUGAAUUAUAGGUACCAGAUAUGCCAAUGUCUUUCCUGAUCCACUUUGAUCUGCUAUAACACAGCUCUUCCCUUCAAUUACAGGUGUAAAUGCCAUGGCCUGAAUAUGUGAAGGGCGUACGAAAAACUGCCCCUUCAAAGAUUCAAUCAUAAAGCAAGUGCAUCCCAAAUCUUUAAAUGAUUUUCUACUAAAGAAGUCAUUGUCAGCAGAAAAUAUUUGCUGUUGUUGCAGAGGUUUUGUUGAUUUGGAUUUGAGACUAUGAACGUGACCUACGUUGCCCCACCCUCUUGAGUAAGAAGAACCAGCAGGAGCUGAACGUUUUGGUCCAGCUCUUUUGGGGAAAGAUCUUUGAGAAUCAUCUUGCAUAAUUUCAUAAUCCAACAUCUGAUGUUCACCGUGUUUGAAAUAAGCAUUCGAAGUUUUCGUGUCCUCCCUCAUCCCAGUUACCAUUGUCUCUCCAUAAGUCUUUUCCUUCACCAGUGAAGAUCUUUUCAUUAGAACUUUUAACUUGUGUGCUUUCAGUUUUCUGAAACUAGAAGGCGUUGGAGAAGCACUUUUUGUGGUACUUACAAUGCCUGGAGAAGCAUCUUUGUCAUCCUGGUUCGGAAGAUGGGAGCAAGUGCCAUCAGCAUCAUCGAGCUCUGGAACAGCUUGAAAGGGAGUGUUGGAAGCGAAAACCCUUUUACUGCUUUUCAAAUCAAAACUGAAGAAUACGCAACUGUGACUGUGGGAGCCAAUGAUUUGAGGCCUCAGGUUUUUUAGAGGAUGAGGAGAAGGAAGAGCACCCAUUGCCAGCAUCUCUUCCCACACUCUUCCUUCGUUUUCCCUCGCGUCUUCUGCGCUCGCUAUGGAGAAAGAAAGUUUUCCUUCAAGCCGCCGGUAAGAAUAUCUGUUGCAUAUCCAUGUUUA
rnacentral:misc_RNA from 1 species